CCCGCUGAACUUAAGCAUAUCAAUAAGCGGAGGAAAAGAAACCAACAGGGAUUGCCCUAGUAACGGCGAGUGAAGCGGCAACAGCUCAAAUUUGAAAUCUGGCCCUCGGGUCCGAGUUGUAAUUUGUAGAGGAUGCUUUUGGUGAGGUACCUUCCGAGUUCCCGGGAACGGGACGCCAUAGAGGGUGAGAGCCCCGUCUGGUUGGAUACCGAUCCUCUGUAAAGCUCCUUCGACGAGUCGAGUAGUUUGGGAAUGCUGCUCUAAAUGGGAGGUAUAUGUCUUCUAAAGCUAAAUAUUGCCCAGAGACCGAUAGCGCACAAGUAGAGUGAUCGAAAGAUGAAAAGCACUUGAAAAGNAGAGUUAAAAAGUACGUGAAAUUGUUGAAAGGGAAGCGCUCAUGACCAGACUUGGGCUUGGUUGAUCAUCCAGGGUUCUCCCUGGUGCACUCUUCCAGCUCAGGCCAGCAUCAGUUCGCCGCGGGGGAUAAAGGCUUUGGGAAUGUGGCUCCUCCGGGAGUGUUAUAGCCCACUGCGUAAUACCCUGUAGUGGACUGAGGUUCGCGCAUCUGCAAGGAUGCUGGCGUAAUGGUCAUCAGCGACCCGUCUUGAAACACGG
rnacentral:rRNA from 1 species